UACGUAGGGGGCUAGCGUUGUCCGGAUUUAUUGGGCGUAAAGAGCGUGUAGGCGGCCAUGUAGGUCCGGUGUGAAAACUCGAGGCUUAACCUCGAGAUGUCAUCGGAAACCAUUUGGCUAGAGUCCGGAAGAGGAGAGUGGAAUUCCUGGUGUAGCGGUGAAAUGCGCAGAUAUCGGGAGGAACACCAGUAGCGAAGGCGGAGACCUGGGCCAAUACUGACGCUGAGGUGCGAAAGCGUGGGGAGCAAACAGG
rnacentral:rRNA from 1 species